rnacentral:rRNA from 1 species
GUAGGGCGCAAGCGUUGUCCGGAAUUAUUGGGCGUAAAGAGCUCGUAGGCGGCUUGUCACGUCGGGUGUGAAAGCCCGGGGCUUAACCCCGGGUCUGCAUUCGAUACGGGCAGGCUAGAGUGUGGUAGGGGAGAUCGGAAUUCCUGGUGUAGCGGUGAAAUGCGCAGAUAUCAGGAGGAACACCGGUGGCGAAGGCGGAUCUCUGGGCCAUUACUGACGCUGAGGAGCGAAAGCGUGGGGAGCGAACAGGAUUAGAUACCCUGGUAGUCCACGCCGUAAACGGUGGGAACUAGGUGUUGGCGACAUUCCACGUCGUCGGUGCCGCAGCUAACGCAUUAAGUUCCCCGCCUGGGGAGUACGGCCGCAAGGCUAAA